AGGCCAGGGAAAGAAGUCUGGAACAAAGGGAAGACAGAUGACCAUGAUUGACUUCAUUCUUUUACCUCCUGAGAUGGCGAUGGGAUGGGGGACACACAGGAAGAAGCAGGGUCCAUGAGCCUCAGCCCUUGGCUUAGGAGGAGGAGCAGUACAUUUCCACCUACCUUCUCUAAGACAUCUUCCCUUUGCUUAGGCUUACCUGGGGGUGGAGGUACACAGGGAAGGUCAAGCAGGUGUACCAGGGCACCUCCUGGGGAGGGGUCCAGAUGGGGAGGAUGCUGGACAUCCCCAGAAGCCCCAUCCAGGAGAUCUAGCAGAUCCAGGAGCUGUGAGGCCUGGCAGAAGGGACAGAAGGGGCAGGGCUGGGUAUGAAGCUCAGCCCGUCUUCCUACCCCAGAGUUUCUAGCCUUCUCACCUGGGGCUCUGUGGGCACUGGGGCUGCUUCUGAAAGCUGGGCUGCUUCUUUGCUUUCCUUUGCUUCCUCAUCAGCCUGAGGGCCAUCUCGCUCCACAAGAGGCAUUUUUUCCAGGAUGGCAGCCCUGAGAGGAUGGAAUGCAAGUGUGCCUCUGUGUGGUCUCUGGGCCUUUCACAAGAGGCAUCUAGGAUGAGGACUAGGAAUAUGGAGCCCUGGGCACAUGGUGGCUCAGAAGUACCCUUCUGAUUUCCUAAAAUGACAUGUUGUUGCUGAUUUUCAGAUGAACAAGGAGGGUUGGAAGCCAGCUUAGCUUCAAUUAACAGUGGGUGGGAAGCUCUCACCGUGGAUAUGGAAGAACACAGGGUCUCACUCUGUCGCCCAAAGCUCACUGCAGCCUUGACCUCCCAGGCUCUGAUGAUCCUCCUGCCUCAGCCUCCUGAGUGGCUGGGACUACAGGCACAUGCCAACAAGCCCAGGUCCUGGGAUGACCCGAGCAAUCCUGUGCCUGCUACUCUGCUGCCCAGGACACUGAGAGAACCAGUGUUCUCUGGGAGGAAACCACUGGUCAUGGUCUUACUGCUAUGCCCUCUCUGAUCCAGGGAUACAGCAGUGAAAGGUCACCCCACCUGCAGGAAGGGGUCGCUGACUCCAGAUAUGCUGUGUUCUGUGGAGUAUCCCAUUGUCACCAGAGUCCGGAGGAUGUGUACCAGCUGGGGUACCACCUGGAGGGAGGGCACAACUUUGGGCAUUCGUUCUAAUCCUCUCCAGCUAAAGCCCCAUUCCUUCCCCACUGACCCUGUCUUCCAGGCCCAGGGCCUGCCCCUUCACCAGCCCACCUUUCGGAAGUGCCUGAGGGCUGCAGGGCUUCGUUCGCAGAGCUCCGUGAUCAGCGUGAUGGUGCCCAGCAGGAUGCCUGGGGUCAGCGUCGGGGAAGUGAAUGGUGGGGGCCAGGGGCAAGAGAGUCUAUUGCGUGUGUGCCUGUGUGUGUGCACUACCCUUCUCCUGUGAGCUGGGGUUCCCAUCCGAUUUUCAAUUCUUCUGUCCAUAGACCUGAAGCAAAGGAUGGGGGGCCCCACAGCCUUACCAUGGUGACGCUCAUGAAGCAGUUGGGCACAGGGUGGGAGGAAGACACUGGAGAGUUCAGGGACCUUCCGGAUCAUGUGCACUGCAGUCAGAAUAGCCUGCAGAGGUCAGGGGCCUCAGACAGGGGUCAGAGGAGAUGGACCCCUGCAUCUACUACUAUAUAGCACGCAGCAGGCAGUGUGCAGGAGCACGUGCCAGGAGUCCCGCCAUCUCACCUUCUUGCGCACGUAGGGACUGGGCUGCAGGAGCAGUUUCUCCACCUCUGGGGCCAGGUCUCGGCACAUCUCAGCAGAGCCCAUGGUGCUCAAAGUGCACAAGGCCAGGCCUUGUACUGGCUGAAUCCCCUGGCUCAGGUCACUGCAGGGUUUGGGAGGACGGUCAGUCAAACCUCUGAGAAAAUCAGUCCUUUUCAAUACCCACAACAGGCAGUCCCCUGGGAUUUCCAAGGUCCCUACUCUCCCAUCUCCCUGAUUCCAAGUGAUUGCCAGAACCCUCUCACUUCUUGAUGCUGUUGGUAAUGAGCAGGUGGGCAUCGUGCCUCUCAUCCAAUAGAAGCAUGGCCCCCAGGUAGCCCACCCUCUUGUCUGUGAAUCUGGAGGAGGCGAUCAGUUUCAGGCACUCCAUCUAUAGUGAAGGGGGCAGACCAGGAAGAGGCAGGGGUGAAACCAUAGACACUCACAUCCCUGUUCCAUCUUCCUCUUUAAAACCAGAUUAACCUGUGGGGCAUCAUAUCUCAUCACUCUCCCUUCAACAAGAGGAGAAGCUUAGGAAAUUCAGGCGUUAGUGGGUAGGAGGAACUAGGAGUUGAGGAGGAUGGGAGCGGAGAGGAGGAGAUGCCUGCCCUAAAGGAGGCUGGCCAGAGAAUGAAGGGUUCAGGCCAGCUGAUGACCAGUAGGGGUAGCAAUGGGGAAAGAGGUUUGCAGUGCAGGCUGUGAAGACUCUGAAAUUGUAGAAUUUAAAAAACCAGGGCAUAAACAGGUGAGAGAGUCUGGGACUCUGCCCCACUAGCCUUCAUCAAGCUCAGGAGGGAGGUAUUCCUGGCCAGUACCUGUCCAAAGUGGGCGGGGUAGCCCAACAUGUGGACGUAGAGCAGUUUGGCCAGCUGCCGGUGCCUGUGCACUGGGUCCCCGUCGCGGAAGGAGGCCCGGAUGUGGGCACACUCCUUUUGGAUCACCUCCCGCUCCUGGGCCUGAGUCUUGGCCCCGCGAAUCUCUUCGAUGAGGUCCUGAAGCUUCAGCGAAGGCACCACCAUCCUGACUGGCAGAGUCCGGGAGUGGAGAAACACUCUCUGGUCGGGCGUGCCUGGGCUUUCGGCCCAGGCCCGUCCUGUGUCAAGACCCUAAGAGCCCGGGUCCCACAGGCAGCGGCAGCGGCAGCGACAGCCUGCCUACCCCAGGACUCCAGCCUCACCUGGCUUCUGCCUCAACUCCGCUCCUCUGCCCCCCAGCGCUUCCUGGUACGGGGCCGAGCAGGGGUUGGUGCUCCGUGCGGUCCUUCCCUCUCCCCGCCUCCACCACGGGACCCCGCCCUCCUGGGCCGACUGCAGAGCCUUCCUGAAUCCUCUGACCUCGGGCCUCAGGCUUUAGCGGAGAGACAGCAUGAUAGGCCUGGAGUUCUUCAAGAGGCCUCCUCGCACAUCCUUACCACCCGGAGAGCCUCAGUUUGGAUUUGAAGCCAUCGCACCCCAAAGGAGAUGACAAUCCCCCCCCUUUUUUGAACUUUUUUAUUAAUAUAUUUUUUUUGUUAAAAAAAAAAAAAAAAAA
rnacentral:lncRNA from 1 species